GUGCCAGCAGCUGCGGUUAGACAAAAACACCUAUAAGAGUUAUUUGGUUUGUAGUUACAUUACUAGUUAAUUAUUUAUAUUGUAAGGAUUGAAGGUGAAAUUUAUAAUUUUUUAAUUAAUGUGAAAUAAUUAACUACAUUUAGAAGCUAUUAACAUGUGGGUAAAGACUAGGAUUAGAUACCCUAUUAUUCCAUUUAAUUAAAUAUUAGCUUGAGUAGUAAUCAGUUAUAUUCUUGAAACUUAAAGGAUUUGGCGGUACUUUAGUCUAGUUAGAGGAAUCUGUUCUGUAAACGAUAUGCCACGAAGUAUCUUACUUCUUUUUGUAAUCAGUAUGUAUACCUCCAUUAUUAAGCAAUAUUUAAAAAUAUUUGUUGUAAUAAAUUUAUUAUCUAGUAUAUUAGGUCAAGGUGCAGCUAAUAUAGAAGUUGAAAUGGAUUACAUUGUUAUAUAAAUUCGGAUGUUAAUUUUAAAAUUUAUUAGAAGUUGGAUUUAAUUGUAUGCUUUUUUUAAUAAGGUAAGUUGAUAUUAGCUCUAGAGUAUGUACAUAUCGCCCGUCGCUCUCAUUAAUUAAAGUGAGAUAAGUCGUAACAAAGUAGGA
rnacentral:rRNA from 1 species